CAGUAGCCGCGGGAACACGUAGAUGGCAAGCGUUGUCCGGAAUUAUUGGGCGUAAAGGGCUCGCAGGCGGUUUCUUAAGUCUGAUGUGAAAGCCCCCGGCUCAACCGGGGAGGGUCAUUGGAAACUGGGAAACUUGAGUGCAGAAGAGGAGAGUGGAAUUCCACGUGUAGCGGUGAAAUGCGUAGAGAUGUGGAGGAACACCAGUGGCGAAGGCGACUCUCUGGUCUGUAACUGACGCUGAGGAGCGAGAGCGUGGGGAGCGAACAGGAUUAGAGACCCCCGUAGUCCCUGUCUCUUAUAC
rnacentral:rRNA from 1 species